AUCUAUCCUUGCUUUUUAUGUAGGAAAAUAAUGAAAACUUACCAACGGCAUGGCGGCUGUGUCGAGCGGCCAGUAUGCCACAAGAAUUACAAUACGUGUCGUUCCAUCGAACCCUCAUUUGACCGGAUUAGUCUGAAUCAGAUCGACAGAAAGUAAGUACCACCGAAAAACUACACAAGCCGAGCACUCAUUCUCUUCCUCUCCCUCAUUCCCUCCGCCCUCGCGUCGUCCCCAGAAAAGUACACUGGCCGAGCCCCAAAUCGUGUCGCCGGUACCCCCUUCUCAGCCUUCCUGCCUUCCCUCGCCGUCGCCAGUGUAGGGCCGUCGGGCUAAGCCCGGUUGGCGGACAGCGGCAUCGGGUUUUCUCUGCAGCGGCGGGAUCUCGUGGUGGGGAGGCGGGCUCGGCCCAGGGAGAGAGGUGGUGGUCAUGAAGUUAGUUCCCCGGUGUUGCUUGAUCCCCCAUUUGGAGCCCGAAGUUUAUUGUCAGAUGUAUAUGUACAGAUGUCCUGUGCGCGUGGCCAGGUGUUUCUUCGGAACGGAUGUGAUCUUUACAUCUGCCUCAUACUCUGCAUCUCUGUUCACUGAUUGGUCGCUUAUUGAAUCAUCAGUGGGUACGUAUAUGAAUCACUGAGAGUAGGUGUAAAUAAGCGAUGUGGGAUUAUUAUUUAGCCGAACAAGCAUUGGAGAGAAUCA